AGCGAACGCUGGCGGCAGGCCUAACACAUGCAAGUCGAACGAACCUUUCGGGGUUAGUGGUGGACGGGUGAGUAACACGUGGGAACGUGCCUUUAGGUUCGGAAUAACUCAGGGAAACUUGUGCUAAUACCGAAUGUGCCCUUCGGGGGAAAGAUUAAUCGCCUUUAGAGCGGCCCGCGUCUGAUUAGCUAGUUGGUUGAGGUAAUGGCUCACCAAGGCGACGAUCAGUAGCUGGUCUGAGAGGAUGAUCAGCCACAUUGGGACUGAGACACGGCCCAAACUCCUACGUGAGGCAGCAGUGGGGAAUCUUGCGCAAUGGGCGAAAGCCUGACGCAGCCAUGCCGCGUGAAUGAUGAAGGUCUUAGGAUUGUAAAAUUCUUUCACCGGGGACGAUAAUGACGGUACCCGGAGAAGAAGCCCCGGCUAACUUCGUG
rnacentral:rRNA from 1 species